rnacentral:rRNA from 1 species
UACGUAGGGCGCAAGCGUUGUCCGGAAUUAUUGGGCGUAAAGCGCACGUAGGCGGACUCUUAAGUCGGUGGUGAAAUCCUGGAGCUCAACUCCAGAACUGCCUUCGAUACUGAGAGUCUCGAGUCCGAGAGAGGUGAGUGGAACUGCGAGUGUAGAGGUGAAAUUCGUAGAUAUUCGCAAGAACACCAGUGGCGAAGGCGGCUCACUGGCUCGGUACUGACGCUGAGGUGCGAAAGCGUGGGGAGCAAACAGG